UAGGGAAUCUUCGGCAAUGGACGAAAGUCUGACCGAGCAACGCCGCGUGAGUGAAGAAGGUUUUCGGAUCGUAAAACUCUGUUGUUAGAGAAGAACAAGGACGUUAGUAACUGAACGUCCCCUGACGGUAUCUAACCAGAAAGCCACGGCUAACUACGUGCCAGCAGCCGCGGUAAUACGUAGGUGGCAAGCGUUGUCCGGAAUUAUUUGGCGUAAAGCGAGCGCAGGCGGUUUCUUAAGUCUGAUGUGAAAGCCCCCGGCUCAACCGGGGAGGGUCUUUGAAAACGGGGAGACGUGAGUGCAGAAGAGGAGAGUGGAAUUCCAUGUGUAGCGGUGAAAUGCGUAGAUAUAUGGAGGAACACCAGUGGCGAAGGCGGCUCUCUGGUCUGUAACUGACGCUGAGGCUCGAAAGCGUGGGGAGCAAACAGG
rnacentral:rRNA from 1 species